UAAUAGCUCACUAGUCGAGAGGUCCUGCGCCGAAAAUGUCCGGGGCUGAAACACACUACCGAAGCUUGGGAAUUGACGAAUGUUAAUUGGUAGAGGAGCAUUCUUAACGGGGCGAAGCUGUACCGGAAGGAGCAGUGGACUGUUAAGAAGAGAGAAUGCCGGAAUGAGUAGCGAGAGGAAGGUGAGAAUCCUUCCGGCCGAAUAUCUAAGGUUUCCAGAGUAAAGCUGAUCUGCUCUGGGUAAGUCGGGGCCUAAGGCGAGGUCGAAAGACGUAGUCGAUGGAUAACAGGUAAAGAUUCCUGUACUGUAUCAUAACAGAACUGUGGGGACGCAGACAGAGAGCAUAAGCCGGGAAUGGAAAGACCGGUACAAGCGAGGUAGGAGUGCAUCAGGCAAAUCCGGUGCACAAUCUGAAGACGUGAUGUGGGGCGUAAAGCCGGAAGUAUGUGAGCUGGCUGCCAAGAAAAGCCGCUAUUGUUUAUGAUAUACCCGUACCGUAAACCGACACAGGUGGAUGAGGAGAGAAUCCUAAGGCCGACGGGAGAAGCAUUGUUAAGGAACUCGGCAAAAUGACUCCGUAACUUCGGGAGAAGGAGUGCCAUGUAAAAGUGGCCGCAGAGAAUUGGCCCAAGCAACUGUUUAGCAAAAACACAGGUCUAUGCAAAACCGAAAGGUGAGGUAUAUGGGCUGACGCCUGCCCGGUGCUGGAAGGUUAAGGGGAGAGGUUAGCCGUAAGGCGAAGCUUUGAACUUAAGCCCCAGUAAACGGCGGCCGUAACUAUAACGGUCCUAAGGUAGCGAAAUUCCUUGUCGGGUAAGUUCCGACCCGCACGAAAGGCGUAAUGAUUUGGGCACUGUCUCAACAAUGCACCCGGUGAAAUUGAAAUACCAGUGAAGAUGCUGGUUACCUGCGCCAGGACGGAAAGACCCCAUGGAGCUUUACUCCAGCUUGAUACUGGGAUUCGGUAUUGCAUGUACAGGAUAGGUGGGAGGCUGAGAAGCAUGGACGCCAGUCUGUGUGGAGCCAAUGUUGGGAUACCACCCUUGCGAUAUUGGGUUUCUAACCUGCGCCCGUGAGCCGGGCGGGGGACAAUGUCAGGCGGGGAGUUUGACUGGGGCGGUCGCCUCCGAAAGGGUAUCGGAGGCGCUCAAAGGU
rnacentral:rRNA from 1 species